UACAGGGGCCAUGGCAGCCUGAACUCGCUGGAUCUCACGAGAACUUGUAAAGCUAAGCAGGAUCCGGCGGGGUUUCUCCGGAUGGGAAAGUGCUGAGAUAACUGGGUGCCUCCUUAG
rnacentral:rRNA from 1 species